UACGUAGGGUGCGAGCGUUAAUCGGAAUUACUGGGCGUAAAGCGUGCGCAAGCGGUUCGUUGUGUCGGCGGUGAAAGCCCCGGGCUCAACCUGGGAAUGGCCGUUGAAACUGGCGAACUGGAGUGUGGCAGAGGGGGGUGGAAUUCCGCGUGUAGCAGUGAAAUGCGUAGAGAUGCGGAGGAACACCGAUGGCGAAGGCAGCCCCCUGGGCUAACACUGACGCUCAGGCACGAAAGCGUGGGGAGCAAACAGG
rnacentral:rRNA from 1 species